UCUAGUAUGGAGGACUAGUGGUUAGGCCACAGCACUCUCACUGCUGCGACUUGGGUUUGAUUCCUGGUCGGGGAA